rnacentral:lncRNA from 10 species
AAGCAUCAUCAGAAACCGACCAUACUGGCUUCCUGAUCUCAGACUUUCAGCCUCCAGAAUGGAUAUAUUUGGCAUUAAACUCGGGACAAAAGAAGACACAAACUUUAUCUUGUGGUUUGGGUCCUCCAAUCCUCAUAAAAGUGUGGUUUCACCUGUUACCUCAUAAAGGUGCCAUUGCUGUAUGCACAUCUGAAUCUGUUUACAAUUUGAGAAUAGAGGCAUGCUAAUUGUCAAAUAAAGUGGGCUGUGUUGUAAGUAGAUGUAUUAAACAAAUUCCACCGUU